UACACGGGCGAGUCCUGUACGGCCAGCUCCCUCGGAAUCCCCCAGGGUGGGAACGCAGCAAGGGUACUUGGUUGUAGCGGCGCGAUACAGUCAGCUCGCCCACC
rnacentral:SRP_RNA from 1 species